UAGGUCAGAGAGGAAGUGUCAGGUUGGAAGAUGUUAUACUCUGGAGAAUCUCUGUACCUGCUGGGUGAAAGGGAAGAAUUUGAAGCAGGAGACCCAAUAGAAGGCUGUAGCAAUGGUUCUGGUGGAAGAAGAUGGUGCCCUGGACAAGAGUGGUUGGGGUGGAAGUGCAGAGAAGUUGUCAGAUUCUGAAUGUGUUGUGAAGAUUGACUUGCCCAUGGACUGCAUGAGACAGGUGAGAUAAUGACAACUCCUUACUGUCUCUUUUUCAGAAUAACAGUAAC
rnacentral:lncRNA from 10 species